UACAGAGGUCCCAAGCGUUGUUCGGAUUCACUGGGCGUAAAGGGUGCGUAGGCGGUUCGUUGUGUCUGUGGUGAAAGCCCCGGGCUUAACCUGGGAAUGGCCAUGGAAACUGGCGAGCUGGAGUGUGGCAGAGGGGGGUGGAAUUCCGCGUGUAGCAGUGAAAUGCGUAGAGAUGCGGAGGAACACCGAUGGCGAAGGCAGCCCCCUGGGCUAACACUGACGCUGAGGCACGAAGGUCAGGGGAGCAAACGGG
rnacentral:rRNA from 1 species